rnacentral:rRNA from 1 species
GACGAACGCUGGCGGCGUGCUUAACACAUGCAAGUCGAACGGAAAGGCCCUGCUUUUGUGGGGUGCUCGAGUGGCGAACGGGUGAGUAACACGUGAGUAACCUGCCCUUGACUUUGGGAUAACUUCAGGAAACUGGGGCUAAUACCGGAUCGGAGCUCCUGCUGCAUGGUGGGGGUUGGAAAGUUUCGGCGGUUGGGGAUGGACGCGCGGCUUAUCAGCUUGUUGGUGGGGUAGUGGCUUACCAAGGCUUUGACGGGUAGCCGGCCUGAGAGGGUGACCGGCCACAUUGGGACUGAGAUACGGCCCAGACUCCUACGGGGGGCAGCAGUGGGGAAUAUUGCACAAUGGGCGGAAGCCUGAUGCAGCAACGCCGCGUGCGGGAUGACGGCCUUCGGGUUGUAAACCGCUUUCGCCUGUGACGAAGCGUGAGUGACGGUAAUGGGUAAAGAAGCACCGGCUAACUACGUG